rnacentral:rRNA from 1 species
GAGUUUGAUCCUGGCUCAAAACGAACGCUGGCGGCGUGGAUUAGGCAUGCAAGUCGAACGGACGCUUAUCUUUUUCGAGCGUUAGUGGCGAAAGGGUGAGUAACACGUGGGUUAUCUGCCCUCGGGAUCGGGAUAACCAAUCGAAAGAUUGGCUAAUACCGGAUACGUUCUCGGGCUUUAAAUGGUCUGAGAAGAAAGAUGGGGAUCCGCAAGGACCUAUCACCCCUGGAUGAGCCCGCGGCCUAUCAGCUUGUUGGUGAGGUAAUGGCUCACCAAGGCUAAAACGGGUAGCUGGUCUGAGAGGAUGGUCAGCCACACUGGGACUGAGACACUGCCCAGACACCUACGGGUGGCUGCAGUCCAAAAUCUUUCGCAAUGGGGGAAACCCUGACGAAGCGACGCCGCGUGCAGGAUGCGGCCUUCGGGUUGUAAACUGCUGUCAGCUGGGAAGAAAAAGCAGUCGGGGAAUACUCGACAGCUCUGACGGUACCAGCAGAGGAAGCCACGGCUAACUCUGUGCCAGCAGCCGCGGUAAUACAGAGGUGGCAAGCGUUGUUCGGAUUUAUUGGGCGUAAAGGGUUCGUAGGCGGUAUAGAAAGUCGGGUGUGAAAUUCUACAGCUCAACUGUGGAACUGCACUCGAAACUUCUAAACUAGAGUGUGAGAGGGGUGAAGGGAAUUCCCGGUGUAAGGGUGAAAUCUGCAGAGAUCGGGAGGAACACCAGUCGCGAAGGCGCUUCCCUGGCUCACAACUGACGCUCAGGGACGAAAGCUAGGGGAGCAAACGGGAUUAGAUACCCUGGUAGUC